GGGGACAUAGCUCAGUUGGUAGAGUAGUUGUCUAGUAUAAACAAGGCCCUGGGUUCAAUCCUCAGUGCCACCA
rfam:Ictidomys tridecemlineatus contig037908, whole genome shotgun sequence.